ACUUGGUGAAACGGGUGAAACACCGGCAGCGGUUGUCACGGCCAGCGGGCUGGCCUGACCGAGGAGAAGGGACCCGGGGAAGGCCGGGGACGAUGCGGAGCCUCCUCCCGGCACGCCCCCAGCGCCAAGGCCGGGACUUCUGUCCAUGUCCAUCGACAAGGGCUCGCGGAGGCGGUGGGUGCGUGCAGCGGUGGGUCAAGCCUCAUGACCUUUCGACAUUUACAUACACCCACAAUCCUCCAACUUGCGAUUUGCAUUUGGAUGAGGGGCUGACCUAGUUUCUAAGGACAUGCGCAUACACCUGCUGGGACGUGCCCCGCCCAUCAUCACAGGAAGGGUCAGUUUACAACCGCGUGGCUCGGAGGGACAGUCCAUAACACGCCUUCCAUACAGGGACAGCCACGCGGACUGGUCACAGUACACAGCCGUCCUUCACACUCUAACCGACCGUCCGUCAGCUGAAGACCACCCCUGUUAGCAAAGUGGUGAUCAAACAGCAUUCAAAGAAUGACAUUUAUAGACAAUACCGCUGCAAGCUAGCUUACAUGCACGUAGGACGUUAUAUAAUGUUAUUGGCAUGGCCAUUAGAGGUCUAUUACAUCAUGAUAAAAGAAAAGAUGAUGUGAAGAUUCGAAGCAUGUUAAAAAUGAUAACAGCUGAGAAACCAGUUGGGCCAAACAUGUACAAUACAAAAAAGACCACAAUUUCAUUUUGCAAUUUUCACCGCUUAUACAAAUGCUUGCAUUGUACGUGCGCAAUUCUAUCCGCCAUAUACAAUAUAUGGACCGCAUGUUAUUUGAUAUACGUUAUGAAAUUAGGUGGCGGCGCACGCUCAGUUUCAUAUAUCCGCCAUAAGCUUAAUAGAGACAUUUAUUGUGAUCAUAUCUUCGAGGUUUGUUUCUGUUGAAAUUGCCUAUUGGCAUCUUCUGAUAGUUUGAUAGUUUGUUUGUUUUGAAACCUUAGCGACAACAUUUCUUAUUCAAUGGAUAUUAAUGUGGUAUCUAUUACAUUUGGCGUCGUCGUCCCAUUAACGUAGUACGUCUUUCUUAUUUUUGUAUAUGUCACACCUGUUUGAUUCCAUGUUUUGAACCAAAAAGCUUCAACAUUCAUAACUAUCCAAUGAAAAAUAGGAGCCUAACGUUAAGAUAGCUGUAAAAUCGUUUGUCAUUGGUUACGAAUAUAACGUUAUGGUAGAUAUGUACGUACAUGUGCUUUUGUCGGGUUGUCAGCACUUAUUUCUAUACGUCAUUUUCUUAAACCUGCACAUAAUAUCUCAAUAUAUACUAGUAUUACCGAAUGACCAAAGUAGCAACACGAGUUGAAACAUCACAAUCUAGCUGCAAAAUUACUUUUAAGACAAUAUAGUUGUCCAACAUGGAAUAAGGAAAUAUCUUUUUUAUUUUGAACACAAUCCCUUUCUUAACUAUUUGUUUGUUUUCUUGUUUGCUUCUUGUUGUUGUAAACAACACUGUCGUCACCAGCUUUAUCCUAUAUAUGUGCCUGCACAAAAUUGAUAUGU